rnacentral:rRNA from 1 species
AUAUGAAGUCGGGCCUGCCCAGUGAAUUUAUUUAACGGCCGCGGUACCCUGACCGUGCAAAGGUAGCAUAAUACUUGCCUUAUAAUUGAAGGCUGGAAUGAAUGGUUUGACAAGAGUGUAGCUGUCUCAUUAUAAUUUAAUAGAAUUUUAUCUUAGGAUGAAAAAGUCCUAGUUAAAUUAAAAGACAAGAAGACCCUAUCGAGCUUGAAGUUAAUUAAUAAAAAAUUAAUACUUAUAAAAGUUAGUUAUUAAAAAUUUUGGUUGGGGCAACUAAGGAGCAAAAAAAGCCUCUUUUAAAAACUAUACAAACUAGUAAAGAUCCAGUAAUUUUGAUCAAAGAAAAUAGUUACCGUAGGGAUAACAGCAUUAUCUUUUUUGAGAGCCCAUAUCGAAAAAAAGGUUUGUGACCUCGAUGUUGGACCAGAAUAUCCUAAAGAUGCAGAA